rnacentral:rRNA from 1 species
UGCCAGCCGCCGCGGUAAUACGGAGGGUGCAAGCGUUGUUCGGAAUUAUUGGGCGUAAAGCGCGUGUAGGUGGUUUGUUAAGUGGGAUGUGAAAGCCCCAGGCUCAACCUGGGAACUGCAUUCCAAACUGACGAACUAGAGUACGAUAGAGGGAGGUAGAAUUCAGAGUGUAGCGGUGAAAUGCGUAGAUAUUCUGAGGAAUACCGGUGGCGAAGGCGGCCUCCUGGCUCGAUACUGACGCUGAGGUGCGAAAGCGUGGGUAGCAAACAGGAUUAGAUA